UACAGAGGUCUCAAGCGUUGUUCGGAUUCAUUGGGCGUAAAGGGUGCGUAGGUGGCGCCGUAAGUCAGGUGUGAAAUCUCGGGGCUCAACCCCGAAACUGCACUUGAUACUGCGGUGCUCGAGUACUGGAGAGGAGAUUGGAAUUUACGGUGUAGCAGUGAAAUGCGUAGAUAUCUGGAGGAACACCGGUGGCGAAGGCGGCAUUCUGGACCGAAACUGACGCUGAUGCGCGAAAGCCAGGGGAGCAAACGGG
rnacentral:rRNA from 1 species